rnacentral:tRNA from 1 species
AGAGAUAUAGCUCAGUGGUAGAGCACGUGCUUAGCAUGCAUAAGGUCCUGGGUUCAAUUCCCAGUACUUCCU